AGCAGCCGCCGCGGGAAUACGGAGGGUGCAAGCGUUAAUCGGAAUUACUGGGCGUAAAGCGCACGCAGGCGGUCUGUCAAGUCAGAUGUGAAAUCCCCGGGCUUAACCUGGGAACUGCAUUUGAAACUGGCAGGCUAGAGUCUUGUAGAGGGGGGUAGAAUUCCAGGUGUAGCGGUGAAAUGCGUAGAGAUCUGGAGGAAUACCGGUGGCGAAGGCGGCCCCCUGGACAAAGACUGACGCUCAGGUGCGAAAGCGUGGGGAGCAAACAGGAUUAGAUACCCCUGUAGUCCCUGUCUCUUAUAC
rnacentral:rRNA from 1 species